CCGCGCAUAAAAAAUUUGUUUUUUUACAAGUUAUAAUUAACAAUAAAUUCUGAAACGUAUUUAUUUUAAUAGUAAGAUUUCUGAUUAUUUUAGUAUAUAAUACAUGCAAGCAUCAAAUUAUUUAGAGAUCAGGUAACGGAUGACAUAAUGCGGCGGGCGCGUUCCACACAUAAUGAUAUUUGUGAAACAAUUUUAUAUUUUGUAUUUUUUUGGCUUCAUGUAAGAGCAAUAAAUUAGCACAAAAUUCUAGCGUACUCGUUUUUGUCUGGGGCUACUGUACUUAUUUUUGUAACUAUUAGGUGGUCAAGCUUGCCAUUAAAUUGCACCUUCCUUUUUUUUAAUUGUUGCUAAACGGUUUGAACAAAAAAGUCCGGACUAGGGUAACAAAUUAGCACAUAAAUAGCACUACAUUUUUGACAAAGUAUGGACUCAAUUUUUGCUGGUGAGAGGUCCAGCUUAAUAGAAGUCAGAUAAGACAGUUUGUAACAGUAAAAAGCAGACAUUGUUUUUAGCAAAACAACUGGAGCAAAAAAUUCCAAACAGAGCAAAAAAUUAGUACAAUUUAGCACUACAAGAAUCAAUAUUUGUUUUUUAAUCUCUUUUAUUUUUUGCUAAUGGCUGUGCUAACUUUAACUUAAGCUAGCACAGCCAUUGUUUUUAGCAAAGCGAUUGGAGCAAAUAAAUUCUAAAUACAGCAAAAAAUUAGCAAAAAAUAGCAAGAUAAACCUGUAUAAGUCUCAUUUGAGUGCGCUGAAAUGGCUGUGCCAGCUUAAUAGACGUUAAAAAAUCUUUAGACAAAGGAAACAGAACUAGUACAAUAAAUAAAAUUGUAAUAAUUAAUUAAUUUGAUAGUGCAUUAGUAUUUCACUAUUAAUCUCCUGAUACAUGUAACAAUUAUUAUGUGUAUAACUGUCAAUGCAAUUAAGUAUAACUAUCAAUGCGAUUUCCGCGAUGACAACAACUCACGAAGUAAGCACAGCGCGAGAACUAAUCAGCAUUUCGAAAAAGCGUUAACAAUAAAUUUCGAGAGAUGCGACUAUCAAUUUAAUAUGGAUUUUUUCAGAUAGGAUACUCGUUAGACACAUUUUUCUCAUAUAUGUAUGAUGUAUAUUUGUUUCGUGCAUUUCUGAUAAACAUAUAUUAAACUUUUACGAGGUAUUAUGUUUACAGUAAACAAAUUAGGAAUAUAGUUUCAAAAAAAUAUAUUAACGAUGAAAUCAGCAAUCAGUAUACGAAACUUGGUCUAUUAAAUGAAAAAAUAAUAUAUCGGGAUUACAUAAUAUGUUUAAAAAAACAUCAAUUUGUUAUAGAAUUUUUUAAUACAUUGGAGUCAACAUAUCAAGAGUUCUCAAUACUUUUUUUAGUUUUACAUGUCGGACUUAUAAGUUUACUUGGAUUGCAAGUAAGCAUUAAAAAAACUAUUCACGUGUUUGUUCAUAAAAAUUGUACUACAGCUAGAUUUUCCCAUCGUUUAAUUUCUAAGGCCUAAUUAGUUGUUUCUUAUAUAUGACUUUUUAUAUAUAGGUUCUAACAAUUCACAUUUUAAUUUUAAAUAAAUUAAGCUGGCUACGUCUUGAUGUGUAUGAAAAAUACUAAGAUUAAAGUUGUUAAAGUUUCUUUGUACUUGUUCUUCAUGAGUUGCGAUACGCAUGUUUCACUGUUGUGCGCCCUUUGUUGUCCUGACUCGCGGCCGUCUCGCGAGUCUACCGGUCUAGUAAUUAUUUCGUUUUUACUAUUCUGUAAGCUAUUGUACAGACCAUAGCAUUAAUGCCUGACCAUAGCAUUAAUACCGAUUUUAGGGACCUUCUUUCUUGGUUAUUUUUACGUUCAUGACCGAAUGCCGCGCAAAAAACAUAUACGCGGUCAUGAAUGUAAAAAUAACCAAGAAAGAAACAUGGUCCCAAAAAUCGGUGAUCCAGGCAUUAAUGCUACAGUCUGUAUACCCACCGUGUUUAAUUCCGUCCCUUGGGAAAUUUUCCAAACUAAGAAGUCACCACUUUCUACAUACUUGCAGUUCAUAAUUAAUGAAACGACUAGAGCUUAUUGGCCGUUACGUUAAUCAUGAACUGUAAGUAUGUAGAAAGAUAGCGACUUCUCAGUUUGAAAAAUUUCCCCAUGGACAGAAUCAAAGUCCUUGGGUGUACGUGUCGUCUCUCUGAGCGGAAAUAAAAUUACCGUACUUUGUGUUAUAUCACUCCGUGCGGGCGGAUACCGAUAGCACACGGGACCGAUAGCACACCCAGAUAACAAUUCGUGAGAUUACUCUCAUGGCGUAAUAAUUACGCUGUGCGUGCAAAAGUGCAUCACAGUGCACUCAUCAUAGUGAGCGCAUACGUGUACGCGUAAAAAAUCGCAUGGUGCAAUCACGCGUGAUGGAAAUAUUUGACGACGUGAGGACAUUUGUAACGUGAUAAUCCUGCCGUGCGCACAAGAACGUAUCACGCUGCUCUCACAAUGUGAUGAGGGCACGCGUAACUGUGAUAAAAAAUUUUUUCAUAAUUUAAAAAAAAAUGUCUUAUAAUUUAUUUAAAAAUAUAAUGUAAUUUCUCAAAUAAUAUACCAUAUAUAUUUACUUAUAAAAGGACUUCCGUUUCCGAAGCGAGCGAAAGUAGACGGGUGCGAUUUGAAGGUUUUUGUUUAGAGGCAAAGAGUGAGUGCGGAGAGUGGAAAAGUGUGUAGAGAGCGUGGGAGAAGAGUGAGAAUGGCAUGGAGCGGAGGUGAAGAUAGAAGAAGUGAGGGAAGUGAGAACAGGGUGGGAGGAGCAGGGCGGGAGGUUUGCCGUCGUGAGUUUCAGGACAGAAAGGGAGAAAGGGAGGUAAUAAAAGGAAGAGUGGGUUAAGAAAUGACAGGGUUUAAAUAGAGGAUGAUUUAACGUGGAGGGAAAGGCAAGUGAGGUUAAGGAUUAGGGAGAUGGCCAAGGAGGAAAGAAAAUGGGCAAAAGUGUGGGUAGGAAAAAACAAGAUAAUGAUUAACGGGAUAUGGUGAGUUUGGGAUGAGGAAAAGGGAGAACUGAAGGAUAGACGGGAAAGAAAAUCGGAGGCGAAAGGGAGAAUGGGAAGGAAAUCGGGGAAAGGGGAAAGGAAGGGCUAGAGGAGAAGGAGAUAAAGGAAAAAGAGGAUGGGACGGUGGGAGGAGAAAAUAGGAGAGUAAGGAAUUGUCAGUGGAAAGAGGGGGAAAGCAAAGAGGUAAAGAUAGCCUUUUGGAACAUGGCAGGACUAGGGAAUAAAGAUGGAGGCUUCUGGAAAGAGAUUAAAGGAGUGGAAUGUGGUGGUGAUGUCGGAGACGUGGGUGGAGAAAAAAGUAUGGGAAAGAUUAAGAGAAAAGAUGACGAGAGGGUUCAUUUAGAAGUGCAGAUGGCAAGCUGGAAAAAUAGGAAAGGUAGAGAGCGAUAAGAGGAAUGGUAAUAGGAGUGAAAAAUGGGAUAGAAGUAGUAGAGGAAGGGGAAGAAAGAGCGGUAGAGGGGAUAAUAAGAAAGGUGAUUAAAAUUGGAGAGGAAAAGUGAAGAAUUGUGGGGGUGUAUGCGAAUGGAGAUAUAAGAGAAGUGGGAGGGAAUUAGGGAAUGGCUAGAGGACAAGGGAUUGGGGAUAAGGACAAUAGUGGGGGGGGAUUUUUAUGCAAGGACAGGGGAGAGAGGUGAGAAAGGAAAUAGAAAGAAAGGAGGAAAGAGGAAGGAGGUCGAAGGAUAAGAAAGUAAACAGGAAAGGCAAAUAUUUAUUGGAAGCGUUGAAGGAAGUAGGAUGGUUUAUUUUUAAUGAGGGUGGAAAGGGGAUGAGGAGGGGGAGUGGACAUACGCGGGGGUAGAGGGGAGUCUGUUUUGGAUUACGUGAUUGGGGAUGAAAAGGUAUGGAAAAAGGUGAGUAGAAUAAGAGUGGAAGAUAAGAUAAAUUCAGCUAACUUUCCGGUGGUAAUAUGGAUUACAGGAGAGGAGGGAAGGGAGAAGAGAGGGAGAGAGGGGUAAAGUGUGUGUGGUCGCAGGAGGGGAAAAGAUUUUUUAGGGAGAAGUUGGAGAAGAAAUGGGAGGAGAAGGGGGGAUAGGAGAGUGGGAUGGGAGGAAGUCAGAGACGAUAUACUGAGGGUUAUGAGGGAAGAGCAGAGUAAGUAGGGAGUAAGGGAAAGGAGGGGAUGGCGGGAUGAGAAGUGCAGGAAGAGCAAGAAGAGGGUGAGGAGCAAAUGGAGGAGAACGGCAGGUGGGGAGGGGAGGUACAGAAAGGUGAAAAGGGAGUAUAAUAAAAGGUGUGAGGAGAAAAAAAAGGAAGAGAAUGAAAGAUGGGUGGAGAAGGAAAGCAAGGCGAAGGCAGAAGGGCAGUUAUGGGAAGUGGUAAGAAAGAAAAGAAAGAGAAGAAGAGGAGUCAGCAGAAAGAUAAAGGAGAAGGAGUGGGUGGAAUACUUUAAGGGGAUAUUAGGAGGGGUGGAAAAGGGUGUUUAGGGGGAUAAGGGGAAAUAAAAACGGAAACGAGGAGGAAGAUAUCACAAGAGAGGAGGUGAGAAGGGCGAUGGGAAGGAUAAGGGAGGGAAAAGCGGCGAGGGGGGGAUGGGAUAUCUGAAGAGGUUUGGAAACAUGGGGUGGAGAAGUUAGAGGAAUAGGUUUGGGAAAUUUGUAACAGGAUAUAAAAAGGAGAGGACUGGAUAGAAGAGUGGAGCAAAGUAAUAGUGGUGCCAAUUAUGAAGUAAGGGGAUGGAGAAAAAGUGGAGGAAUAUAGAAAGGUCACACUAAUGCCAACCCUGUAUAAGGCGUACCCAAUGAUUCUGGAGGAGAAAUUGAAAGGGAAAUAAAGGAAAGAGACAAUAUUUCUCAGAAUUAGACGGGUUUUAAGAAAGGGAUGGGGAUGAUUAACAACAUUUAUGUAUUAAAUUACCUGGUCAAGAGGCAAAUAAACAAAGAAAAGGGCAAAUUAAUAGUAUUUUUUGUGGACUUGAGGGCGGCUUUCGAUUCAAUAGAUAGGGAAGUAUUGGGAAAGGUAAUAAGAGAAAGAGGGAGGGAUUGGUUAGGAGAUGUGAUGAUCUGUUAAGGUAGACUAGAAAUAGGGUAAGGGUAGGAGGGGUUGAGUGUGGUAGGAGAGGUGGGUUUAGACGAGGAGGGGGUUAAGACAGGGAUGUCCGUUAAGCCCGGGUAUAUUCAAUUUAUUGACGGCAGAUUUAGAGGACUACAAGAAGAGAAGAGGGUGGGGAGGGGUGAAGCUGAAGAGCAAAAGGUUUACACCUUUGCGUAUGCAAAUGAAAUAGUGUUAUUGGUGGAAAAAGACAGGAUGAGAACAAUGAUGAGUAGAUUGGAAAGGUACAUGAGAGAAAAAAGAUUGAAAGUAAAUGAAAAAAAAAUAGUAAUGAGGUUUGGGAAAGGGGGGAAGGAAGGAAGGUAAGAUAGCGAUGGGAAGGUAAAGAGGUGGAGAAAGUUAAUAAGUUUAAAUAUCUAGGCUAUGUUUUUCAAAGAAAUGGGAAGCAAGAAGUGCAGGUAAGAAAUAGAGUGAAAAGGGGGAUGACGGUAAUGGGAUAGGUAUGGGGGAUGGGGAAAAGGAAGUUUGGAAAAAAAUGGGGAAAGAGGAUCUGGCUAUUUGACGCGUUGAUAUGAACUGUGAUGGCGUAUAGGGUUAAGGUUUUAGGAUGGAGAGAGGGAGAGAGAGAGAGAGAAUGGAAAGGAUGCAGGAAAGAUAUCUGAGAUGGUUGAUGGGGAUAAGUUGCAGGACACCGGGCUACAUGAUUAGGGAAGAACUACAAAGAGACAAGUUGAGGGGAAGGGCGGGAAGAAGAACAUAGAGAUUCAAAAAAAGAUUAGCGGAAGGUAGAAGUAGUAAAUUGUCGAGGAGGUGUUGGGAGAAGUUAAGAGAGAGAGAGCAAAAAAGAGGUGAAGAGGGUGUCGGCAUGGGAGAAGGAAAGACAAGUAUUUUUCAAAGAGAGAGGGAGGGAUCUAAGGGAGGUGGAGAGAGUGAGGGAGGAGGAGGGGUUUGAUUUUGGCAAUUUAAAGGAAGGGCACAAGAAAAAACAAAAAAAAGAAAGGUAGGAGAGGAUACGACAGUUUAGGUAUAACAGGUGGUACAAGAGAGUGAAGUGGGAAGGGAUACCGGGAUAUCUGAAGAAAGGAUGGACAGAGAGCAGAUGAGGGAGAAUUGCGAAGUACAGGCUAGAGGGGGGGGGGUCAGGAAAAGGAUGUAUUGGGCCAGAAAAGAGGAGAAGUCAUGUAGAAUGUGUGGGUGAAAAGAGGAAACGUGGAAACACGUGUGAGAGGAUUGUGAAAAAUGGGAAGCGGGGAUGAAUGGGAGGAGAUGGUAUAGGAGGUCUUGGGGGAGGGCGGUAAAGGGGAAGAGUGGGUAAAAAAUUAGAGAAGUUCAGAGAGGGUAGGAUGACAGGAGAAGAGGAUUAUGGGGGAGAGGAGGAUGAGAGAGAGUCAAGGGGAGAGAGAAAGGGAGGAAGGGAGGGAGAGAGAAGAGGGAGAGAGGGAGAGAAAGAGUGGUGUGGGUGGCCGAGGGAGUGAGUGAGAGAGGAGUGGAUAAGUGAAUGGGUGAGUCAGCCUUGAAAAAUGUAAAAAUGUUAAAUAAAGUAUAGAAAAAGAAAGAGGCAACAAAUAACUUGCGACGGAAGCGAAGGUAUGUGUGUGUGUGUGUGUGUGUGUGCAUAGGGCGAGCGUGUUAGUUAGAAUAAGUUAGUUGUAAGGUAGUCAGUAAGAUUAGGUUAAGUGUUACGUUUUUGUGUUUUUGUUUGUAAUAAGAUUGUAACCCCUAAGGGUAUCAAUAAGUAUCUAUCUAUUUAUCUAUUUACUCAUACAAUGAUCACUUUCCCAUAAAAAGGGAUGAAGAAAAUAUAAGUUUUUCUCCCUCA